rnacentral:tRNA from 1 species
GAGUAUAUAGUUUAAUGGUUAGAACAUCUACCUUUUAAGUAGAAUAUAUGAGUUCAAUUCUCAUUAUACUUA